CAUCUCACUCACAGGAAGAGCUUCCAACAUGCUGCUCCUCAGCCUGCUGAGAAUAGUCACAGCCUCCAUCUGCCUCGGACCUGCCAUGGCACAGAAGGUAACUCAAGCCCGACCUGUAAUUUCUAUGUCGGAGAAGGAGGCUGUGACCUUGGACUGUGUAUAUGAAAUCAGUGGUACUACUUAUUAUCUCUUCUGGUACAAACAACCACCAAGUGGGGAAAUGAUUUUCCUUAUUCGCCAGGAGUCCUACAGUGAGCAGAAUGCAACAGAGGGGCGGUAUUCUCUGAACUUCCAGAAAUCAGACAGAUCCAUCAGCCUCACCAUCACCUCAUUACAGCUCAGGGACUCAGCAUUGUAUUUCUGUGCUCUGAGAGACACCACAGUGAUGCGGCACCUGUGGGAGCCCCUCAGAAACCUCAGAUCUCAGGCAUCCCCCAGCUAUGAACACCAGACAGAGCGUCGGUGUGCAGGGAAGAAGUGGGGGCUGUGCCUGAGGCGGUGGGGGUUUCGAGGUGGAUGCUUCACUCUAAGGAAAAUGCUAUUUCUCUGGCUCAGAGAACAUGUCAAACAGUGUCAUUCAUCAAAAGCAUCUUUACCUUCAACUCUUUUACCUUGCAGUAGAUAAUUCACAAAAGUUUUUUUUAAUGAUGUGUGAUGAUUACAUUAAAGCAGAAGACCCAAAAUCUAAA